UAAAAACAUGGCUUGUUGAACAUAAUUUCAAGUCUGACCUGCCCUAUGAUGAGAAGUUGAAUGGCCGCGGUAUUUUGACCGUGCAAAGGUAGCAUAAUCAUUAGUUUUUUAAUUGGAAGCUUGAAUGAACGGUUUGAUGAGAAAAUUACUGUCUCUUUUAAGAUUAAUUAGAAUUUUAUUUUUAAGUAAGAAAGCUUAAAUAUGUAUUGAAGACGAGAAGACCCUAUAGAGUUUUAUAGUUUUAUUAAGUAGUUUAAUGUAUUGUUAAAUAUUUUUAGUUUUUGAUAAGAUUAUUUUGUUGGGGUGACAGGAAAAUUAAUUUAACUUUUCUUAUAUUUUUACAUUGUUUUAUGGGUUUUUGAUCCUAGUUUAUAGAUUAAAAGAGUAAAUUACCUUAGGGAUAACAGCGUAAUUUUUUUUAGAGUUCUUAUCAAAAGAAAAGUUUGCGACCUCGAUGUUGGAUUAAAGUUUAUUAUUGGUGUAGAUGCUAAUAUAUUAAGUCUGUUCGACUUUUAAAAUUUUACAUGAUCUGAGUUUAAACCGGUGUGAGCCAGGUCGGU
rnacentral:rRNA from 1 species